CCUACGGGAGGCAGCAGUGGGGAAUCUUGCGCAAUGGGCGAAAGCCUGACGCAGCAACGCCGCGUGCGGGAAGAAGGCCUUCGGGUUGUAAACCGCUUUCAGCAGGAACGAAAAUGACGGUACCUGCAGAAGAAGGUGCGGCCAACUAUGUGCCAGCAGCCGCGGUGAUACAUAGGCACCAAGCGUUGUCCGGAUUUAUUGGGCGUAAAGAGCUCGUAGGCGGUUCAGUCAGUCGGGUGUGAAAACUCUGGGCUUAACCCAGAGCCUGCACCCGAUACUGCUGUGACUAGAGUUCGGUAGGGGAGCGGGGAAUUCCUGGUGUAGCGGUGAAAUGCGCAGAUAUCAGGAGGAACACCGAUGGCGAAGGCACCGCUCUGGGCCGAAACUGACGCUGAGGAGCGAAAGCAUGGGUAGCAAACAGGAUUAGAUACCCUGGUAGUCCAUGCCGUAAACGUUGGGCACUAGGUGUGGGUUCCAAUCAACGGAAUCCGCGCCGUCGCUAACGCAUUAAGUGCCCCGCCUGGGGAUACGGUCGCAAGACUAAAACUCAAAGGAAUUGACGG
rnacentral:rRNA from 1 species